UACGUAGGGGGCAAGCGUUGUCCGGAUUUAUUGGGCGUAAAGAGCUCGUAGGUGGCCUGUCGCGUCGGCUGUGAAAACUCGGGGCUCAACUCCGAGCUUGCAGUCGAUACGGGCAGGCUAGAGUUCGGCAGGGGAGACUGGAAUUCCUGGUGUAGCGGUGAAAUGCGCAGAUAUCAGGAGGAACACCGGUGGCGAAGGCGGGUCUCUGGGCCGAUACUGACACUGAGGAGCGAAAGCGUGGGGAGCGAACAGG
rnacentral:rRNA from 1 species